GACGAACGCUGGCGGCGUGCCUAAUACAUGCAAGUAGAACGCUGAAGCUUGGUGCUUGCACCGAGCGGAUGAGUUGCGAACGGGUGAGUAACGCGUAGGUAACCUGCCUGGUAGCGGGGGAUAACUAUUGGAAACGAUAGCUAAUACCGCAUAAAAUGGAUUAUCGCAUGAUAAUCCAUUGAAAGGUGCAAAUGCAUCACUACCAGAUGGACCUGCGUUGUAUUAGCUAGUUGGUGGGGUAACGGCUCACCAAGGCGACGAUACAUAGCCGACCUGAGAGGGUGAUCGGCCACACUGGGACUGAGACACGGCCCAGACUCCUACGGGAGGCAGCAGUAGGGAAUCUUCGGCAAUGGACGGAAGUCUGACCGAGCAACGCCGCGUGAGUGAAGAAGGUUUUCGGAUCGUAAAGCUCUGUUGUAAGAGAAGAACGAGUGUGAGAGUGGAAAGUUCACACUGUGACGGUAUCUUACCAGAAAGGGACGGCUAACUACGUGCCAGCAGCCGCGGUAAUACGUAGGUCCCGAGCGUUGUCCGGAUUUAUUGGGCGUAAAGCGAGCGCAGGCGGUUAGAUAAGUCUGAAGUUAAAGGCUGUGGCUUAACCAUAGUACGCUUUGGAAACUGUUUAACUUGAGUGCAAGAGGGGAGAGUGGAAUUCCAUGUGUAGCGGUGAGAUGCGUAGAUAUAUGGAGGAACACCGGUGGCGAAAGCGGCUCUCUGGCUUGUAACUGACGCUGAGGCUCGAAAGCGUGGGGAGCAAACAGG
rnacentral:rRNA from 1 species